rnacentral:rRNA from 1 species
GACGAACGCUGGCGGCGCGCCUAACACAUGCAAGUCGAGCGAUGAAAUUUUAACCGAUCUCUUCGGAGAGAAGAUAAAAUGGAUUAGCGGCGGACGGGUGAGUAACACGUGAGAAACCUGCCUUUCACAAGGGGAUAGCCUCGGGAAACCGGGAUUAAUACCCUAUGACACAUUUCCUUCGCAUGGAAGAAAUGUUAAAACUCCGGUGGUGAAAGAUGGUCUCGCGCCUGAUUAGCUAGUUGGUGGGGUAACGGCCCACCAAGGCCAUGAUCAGUAACCGGCCUGAGAGGGUGAACGGUCACAUUGGAACUGAGACACGGUCAAAACGCCUACGGGAGGCAGCAGUGGGGAAUAUUGCACAAGGGAGGAAACGCUGAUGCAGCGACGCCGCGUGAGCGAUGAAGGCUUUCGAGUCGUAAAGCUCUGUCCUAUGUGAAGAUAAUGACGGUACCAUAGGAGGAAGCCCCGGCUAACUACGUG